AAGAAUUUUCUUUUUUUCUUUUCUUUUCUUUUUCUUUUCAAGGAGAACUUUUGGAGUGGGGUUGUGGUGGUAUUGGUAUGUAAAAUAAGUGAAUUUUUGUCAGUAACUCAUAGUCAGUGAAUUAAAUUGCUUUUCCUUUUUUCUUUUGAAUGGUUUCUGCUUGUUUAUCACUAUAAGUCACACUUAAUUUAUAAGUCUUGGGAGAAAAGUCUAAAAGGUGGACCGAAGUUAUCAUUAAAUCUUAGGGAAGCUCUGACAGGUGGAUCAAUGCAUGCUUUAAACGGUUCUCUGAAUUUUCUGUGAAGGAAACCAUACCAUGACUACUUCUUUAUAUUAUUAUACUAUGUAGCUUCACUUAAUCAUAUGCAAUGUAUGGGACUUAUUCAUUCGUUCAUUCAUUCAUUAAUUAUUGUUAUUACUAUUACUGUUACUACUACUACUACUACUAGUAUUUUUUUUUUGAUAAGUUACUACUACUACUAGUAUUAUUAUUAUUAUUAUUAUUAUGUCCUUAAGCAGCUGUAGAGGAAUGUUGGUAAAGAUGUAGAUGUUUGCAUUUUGUAUUUCUUGAUUAAUUUUUUGGUGUUUCACUCACAUUUUAUGAUGCUGGUAUGUGGUUUGCAUUUUUGUAUUUCUUAUUAAUUUUUUGGUGUUUCACCCACAUUUUAUGAUGCUGGUAUGUGGUUUAUCAAAAGGCAAGAUAAUUAGCAAAUAUUUUCUAAACAGAAGCUCAUCUUAUAUUAUAAUUUAUAAUAUACAGAUAUAGAAAACUUAUUACUUGCUAAUUAUUAGAUCUUAUCAUUUGCCAAGGAUAACUCAUCCUUCAUUGCUGAGAAAAAUUACAGGAUGGAAGCUACUGAUACAUAGGAUAUUAAUUGCGUACUAUAACUUGGUUAUUGUUGUUUUUAUAUCUAAAAAUUUUCUGGGUUUUGCCUGAGGCUUUGUUUGUUUUCUUGCUUGAAAUUCAUAGGAAAAUAAAAAAAUUUCAUAAUUCAAGAUCUACCCAUUGCUUGUCUUCAAGAUGCUAGAUUUUUUCCCUGAUGUGGGGAAAAAGGAGGGGAAACAUCCUGGAUUCAGGGGCUGCUAUUUAAUAUAUGUAUUCUGCUGGGAAGACAUGUGGGCUAAUUUAUUAGCUGGCAACAAGUAAACUCACUAAUUAAGAACCAACCAAUUUGAGGUGCAGUCCUACUUGGGACCAAAAUACCAAAUUUUUUUAAGUUGUUGACUUUGAUCUAAUGUAACUGAGAUUUGUUUUUCGUUUUGUUUUUGUUUUUGUUUUUGUUUUUUUUUUUUUUGUUUUUUGAGAAAUUUAAUUAUAAUGCUAAAUUUUAGCAUGAUUAAAAAGUUUUAUUGUUAAAAAAUGAAUUUGUAUUUUUAAAAUUACUUUAAUAUUAAAAUAUAUAUUUCUUAAUUACAAUUUGACUGGCAAGUUGUUACCAUGGAGAGAUUCUUAUAACAUUCAAGUUUGGUUCGAUGCAUACUUGGUUGAACUAAUUUGAAGUGCCACUCUACUAAGUAAUAAAAUAACCUACUGCAUUCUUAUGGGAUAGAGUUAGGAAUUUUGGAACAAAACUUUUAAGUUUCCCACUAGGUUGGCCUUUACCAACUCAGAUUCAUUUUAUGGUCACCAUGUCCAAUGCUUCUCCUUGACAUUCCAGUCAAUUAAUCAUGAUGGAUGAGAGGAUUACUUAAACAAUCUUUCUUUCUUUACUCCCCCCCAAAUAAAAGGUUUGUUAAAAGAGGUUUUUAAGGUUGUAGAUGUAUAGGGUUGAAUUGGCUUAUUUUUAAAAUUAAGAAUUUGAUGCAAAUUUAAGUAGGUUGCUAAAAUUUCUAGAAAUUUAAGGAAAUCUUAGAUUUGGGGUUUGAAGGUUACAGAUUAGACGCAGGAUUAGGGAUAGGGUGAAAGGAUUAGGAUUAAGACUAAGGGACUGGGAUUUAGAUUGACAAAGAUUGAGAAGUGUGAGUUUGGUUGCAAAGCAGGCAAAAGGUUCCAUUUAGUAAGGUGGUUUGCUAUUUGCAACUCUAAGAAGGUUGGAGGUUGGUGCCAGUGACUUCCUAAUCCUUAUUAGAGUGCUAUCAGGCAAUUGACUCUGGAGGUUUGCAGUCAGAAGACAUAAAUUAUGGAGGUGUGUGAUUGUUGAGAAGUUUGGAGAGUUGGAUUGGGAGUAAUAGAUGCUUUGUUUGCUUAUCAAAAAAAAGAGAGUUGGAUUGGAGGUUGAGUCUGUAUAUAACAAAAUCUUUAUCAAUAAUGUAUGUUAGGAUGUUUUGGGAGCAUGGAAUUUUCAGUUGUUAGGAGUCAAAACCGUUAUCUGGUGCCUCUCUUCUAUUGAGCUAAAGAAGGGAGCUCAUUUCUUUAUUGAUUCUGGAGAUUGUUUCAAGCUAGCCUGAGUUGGUGUUCUCAUAUUAGGCUCCUAUUUCGAAAUCUAUGUUUCUUUGUUUGCUUGUUUUAUUAUUAUUAUUAUUAUUAUUAUAAAUUUUCUUUUUUAUUUUUCUUGAUAGGAAGCUUUGGAGUGAGAUUUUUUUCCCCUUCCUAUAGGGCUCUUCUUCUUCUUUUUUUCUUCCUUACUUGUUUUUUUUUCUUUGAUUGGGGGCUUUAGAGUAUUUAUUUCUUCUUCUAAGAUUUCUCCUAGGAAAGCAAUGUAUGUUGCUGUGAAUUGUAUGCAAGAUUUUUUCAGAUGUUUUCCUCAACCAGAUACCGUAUUUGUAUCUACAAGUUUCUUUUUUAUCAAAAACCAGCUGUAUGAAGUCAUUUGUGGACAUAAGAAAGUACCCUAAUUGAAAUGUGAGAUUAGAAUAUUUUCAACAACUCUGGAUGGCCUAAUUUCUCAUUAUCUUAACUGAAACAAAUAGUAAAUUUUGGUAGGGAAUUUGUGAAGUAUUACAUACUGUUUGGGCCUGCUGUUUGUUGCAUUGCUAGUGUGGGCUGUUUAUUUGGCUGUAAACAUGGGAUCAUGGGAUAGGCCACUCAUUGGCUAAUUUAUUCUUCUGAGGAACUGAGUGAAUUUAGUUUGUCAUCUUUUAAGGUUUUCUUUGUGAAACUCCUUUUAGAAUAUGAUAAGUUAUCUCUGGUGCAAAGAGGAUUCUUUUUUGAGCAAUCAUGUAGCAGUAAGCUGUUUUUUGUUAAAAUAUUUGUGGUUCUGUCUCUUAAAAACAUUUAUAAAGUAGAUCAAAUAAUGUUUUGGGAAAAGACUUUAAUAUAAUUCAAGUGGAAGGCACUACUAGUCGGAGAGGAAAGAAGAAAAAUGAUAUACACAUAAAAUGGAAGAAUGAGAAGUAAUUUUAACACAAGCUUUAAAAGUGGCUUUUAGCCUUUGGGAUAUUUGGCUGGAAACAAGUGCUUAAAGGCCCCCCUCUGUGCUUGGAUGGAGGGCAAGGAAGGCCUACUUCUGGGGAGCUUGAGCCAAUGAUGAGAUACCACUUUAGAAGAGCUAGGAUCCUAACCUUGUGUUAGGACCUACAGACCAUGGGAUAAUCUCAGAUAAACAGUGUGUAGGUUCAGGGGUAGGAAUAGGAAGUACUUUUUCUUGGGGGCCAGGGCAGAAGUGUCCAAAGAAAGUACAUAUGUAAGAAAUAUUACAAUUGGAAUACUAUGUUCAUCUUUUUUCUCAUUUUCUUUUUAAACUUCAAAAUGAAAAAUACCUGAUUAUUCAUGAAUCAAAAGUACAAUAAAGGUGAGAUAUCCUUAAAGCGAAAAACAACUACUGAAUGAAGCCAAGACAACCAAAAGGCCCGACUACACGACACAAAAGGACAAAUUCAAAGCUCUAGCAAGCAUACACUCUUUCAUAAGUGAAUUUAGUCAUGAGGCACCGAUCUUAAUUAAACCAUUUGAUGAGGCUAUUUGAAUUUCUUGAUAGCUCAAACUUUUUCUCAAUUGAGUUUGAGGUUCUAUAUCAAUGGAUUUAUGGUUCUGUUACAAUAGGAUGGUUGUGUUAAAAGGUUUCGAGUAAGGAGCACAGGUACUCAUAGUUCUAGAGUGAGAAGGUCAUUUGAUGCAGCUAAACUUUCAAGCUUUAUGUAAGAAGUAGAACAUUUGAUCUGAGUUCUAAAAUAGCUUUCAAUGACAAUAUAGUGAUCGUUUCCAAAUAGUAGUUGUAAGAACUCUUGAUGAUUAUAAGUGAUGGUGAUGCAGAAAAUUUAUUAGAUUAAAAAAUUUAUAUCUGGAGUUUGUUUGACAAAAAAGAAUUGUAAGGAUCGCAGUGUUUGAGCAUUGAUAUAUAAAGUAAGGUUGUAAGCAGUUAUAAACUGAGGUUUGGAAGAAAGAAAUUGAAAUGAAUGGGAGGAGAGUGUACAAGCAUAUAGAAAUGUGGGCAGUUAUACGCCAGACCUUGGAAUCAUAAUGUAAGGUGUACCAGGAAUCAAAAGCACAAAAAUUUGAAGGCAUCAAAAUUCCUGUGCUUUGAAAUCCCAAGCUCCAGCUAAGAUUAGAGUCUUCUCCUGGCUUGUUCUUAGUAUUGGAGAGUCAAUACCAAUGAUUACAGCCCUUGAGCCCUGGCUCAAGUGGUAAAGGGUUGGGAGAGUUUGUGGAAAGUUCUAGGUUCAAGUCUCAAUGGAGAUAAAAAUUUUAUUGAUUAAAAAAAAAAACAAAAAUUUGCAGCAGCUAAAGAAGCUACAUAGAAUCCUUAGCCCUGGGCUAUCUUUUAUUUGUUUGCAUAGUGAGCAGACAAUUGAUCACCUUUUCCCUCAAUAACCAGCAGGGAUGGAUUCCCCCACCACAUCAUAAACAGACAUUUCAUUGCCAACCAGCAGGGAUAGAAUUAUGGUGUAGACUUUUUAGAGUUUCUGGCUUAGCAUGGUUCCCUUCUAGAGAGCCAGCAAAUAUAAGGUGAUUGUUUUUAGUUGUUUGAUAGCAAUCCUAGGAGUAGGAUGUUUUAACAUGUGGUUGCACUUGCUUUACUAUGGAUGAUCUGGUAAAAGAGGAAUAUUGGGAUCUUCAAGGGAGAUGACCCUUAAGAGUCAGUUUGGGAUUUAAUUUAUUUGUUUCUCACUUAUGGCUGUCAAUUUCUUCAUAAUUUUGAUGUACCCUGUUGAGCAUGAACACACUCGAUUGAAGAGCUGCCUGUUGAAAGCUUAGGAUGACCUCAGAGGAGCAUAAUGAGAAGGUUUCUCCAUUUCUGAGUUCUUUGAAGAUUAAUUUUGAUGAAUGCAGGCUAUGGAGCAUGAUGGGGUGUUCUUAGAUCAUGAAGGAGGUGUGGUUUGGUUGGAGCUUUGGCUGGGGUGCAACUGGCUAUAGAGGAAGAGGUGUUAACUCUGUUGGAAGUCUUCACGGGCUUAAGCAACUUUCUGGUAGAAGAAGGAAGAAAAACCUGUGCCAGUGCUUCCAGAAAGCUUCUUUUUACAGAGAGUUGAGGGCAAUUCCGUAACUCCAGACAGCCCAGACCCAACCUAAUGAUGGCCACACAUGAGAUCAAGACCACUUCAAUUAUGAGUUGGUGGAUGCAAAUAUAGUGGCCCUAAAAGACCUACACCAUCUUAAAGCAGAAAGGCAAAAAACAGAUCAAAUUUUAGGGUUGAACGAAAUAAGUUUGAUAUGCCAAAGUGAUUUUCCAUUGCCAUUUUCUCAUGUUGUUUCUUAACACUAUCCUUGCUGAUGUCUUCUUGCAUGUUCCUUGUGUAUCCUGGUGACAAAUGCACUCACUUUUCAAAUUCUUUACUAGCUUAUGCUCAUCUCUAGCCUUAGUCUUACACUUUGAACCUUGAUCUUUUUUCUGAAUUUUUUCACGAACUGUUUCAUGUUCAUAUAAGAUCACUCUCCUCACUUUCCAAGUCAGAUUCACAACUUUUAUUUUUUAUAAAUUAUUUUCAGAGUUUAUGCCUCCUUAAAAUGUGUGAUUUUUGUAUUGGCAUUUUUAGGCCCUUCUGUGGGACUCUUUUUGUACAUUGACUUGUUCACCUUUGCUCAUCCUUUUUCUACUUUUUGAUUCAUGAUACAACAAAAUCUUUCUUUCUUUCUUUCUUUCUUUCUUUCUUUCUUUCCUUUUUAUUUAUUUAUUAUUAUUAUAAUUUUAUUUA